UUGGCUACUGAAGUGAAUGAGCUACCUUCCAGAAGGCCCCUGUUAGCUUCAGGUCUGCCUGACACACAUGGGCGGAUGUUUGAGGCAAGGCAAGGGAUCGCGGGUGAAGUCUACAGGCUUUGCUUGAACAGAGUUAAGUGGCCCCGGUCCAGGCCGGAAGUUAAGCUGGGAGAUGGUGAUCAAGUACAGUUGUUGGGUCUGGCACAGUCAUUCUUUGCUGAGCAGUGCAGAAAAGAGAGAUAUUUCUCUGUGGGUUUGGCUCAUAGUUCCACAAUGCAGUUUUUCAUCUGCGUCUUCCUAUUGGCUCAAGGGAAAAACAAAUCUUGCAUGCACAAAGGAGCUGUCCUGGAGAGCUGACAUCGCUCACCCAUGCCCCUGCAAAGCUCUCUACCUACGCUUCCCCACUUUGCUUUUUCCAGCAAUUCAGACAAGCAAUCUCAUAAAGUGUUGGGGCUGCCUUUAGGUUGUAGUUAAAAAUUUCCAGCAGAUUGGUCACACAUCCUAUGAUAAACAAUAGCCUUCUAUGAGCUGUGAUAUCUUACGUUUGCAAGCCAGUGUGUGCAUGUGUGUGGAAAAAAAUCACCGGUUAUGCUGAGCAACGCUGCCCGACCACAGGGCCAUUUCUGCAGAAUUCUCUUGCCUGGGGCCAUCCCCCUUCAGAUCCACACUGACAAGCCUGCUUAGACCAGUGCUCCUAAGUGUUCCUGUCUUGAUGGAUUAGCUUGGCCAGGACAAGUUUACACAUCACUGGAGAAGUGUGAAGAGGGAGUGCGGAUGGAAAAAAAAUAGAGACACAAGAAGAGGUUUAUAAUGUUUGAAAUUAGGCAGCCCAGCCCGGAACUUUCCAUAAAAACUUUCUCCUGGCUCCUC